rnacentral:rRNA from 1 species
GCAAGUCGAGGGGUAACAUAGAAAAGCUUGCUUUUCUGAUGACGACCGGCGCACGGGUGCGUAACGCGUAUACAACCUACCUUUUAGCGGGGAAUAGCCCAGGGAAACUUGGAUUAAUGCCCCAUAGUAUNNAANCUUCUCCUGAAGUUUAUAUUAAACAUUUAUGGCUAUUAGAUGGGUAUGCGUCCUAUUAGUUAGUUGGUAAGGUAACGGCUUACCAAGGCAGCGAUAGGUAGGGGUCCUGAGAGGGAGAUCCCCCACACUGGUACUGAGACACGGACCAGACUCCUACGGGAGGCAGCAGUGAGGAAUAUUGGACAAUGGGCGAGAGCCUGAUCCAGCCAUGCCGCGUGCAGGAAGACUGCCCUAUGGGUUGUAAACUGCUUUUACAGAGGAAGAACCACCCCCACGUGUGGGGGUUUGACGGUACUCUGCGAAUAAGGAUCGGCUAACUCCGUGCCAGCAGCCGCGGUAAUACGGAGGAUCCAAGCGUUAUCCGGAAUCAUUGGGUUUAAAGGGUCCGUAGGCGGGCAGUUAAGUCAGUGGUGAAAGUCUUCCGCUCAACGGGAGAACUGCCAUUGAUACUGAUUGUCUUGAGUUAUUAUGAAGUGGUUAGAAUGAGUAGUGUAGCGGUGAAAUGCAUAGAUAUUACUCAGAAUACCGAUUGCGAAGGCAGAUCACUAAUAAUAUACUGACGCUGAUGGACGAAAGCGUAGGUAGCGAACAGGAUUAGAUACCCUGGUAGUCUACGCCGUAAACGAUGGUUACUAGCUGUUCGGCCCAAUUGAGGGCUGAGUGGUUAAGCGAAAGUGAUAAGUAACCCACCUGGGGAGUACGUUCGCAAGAAUGAAACUCAAAGGAAUUGACGGGGGCCCGCACAAGCGGUGGAGCAUGUGGUUUAAUUCGAUGAUACGCGAGGAACCUUACCAGGGCUUAAAUGUAGUCUGACAGGUCUGGAAACAGACUUUUCUUCGGACAGAUUACAAGGUGCUGCAUGGUUGUCGUCAGCUCGUGCCGUGAGGUGUCAGGUUAAGUCCUAUAACGAGCGCAACCCCUGUGGUUAGUUGCCAGCGAGUAAUGUCGGGAACUCUAGCCAGACUGCCGGUGCAAACCGCGAGGAAGGUGGGGAUGACGUCAAAUCAUCACGGCCCUUACGUCCUGGGCCACACACGUGCUACAAUGGUAGGGACAGAGAGCAGCCACUUCGCGAGAAGGAGCGAAUCUACAAACCCUAUCACAGUUCGGAUCGCAGUCUGCAACUCGACUGCGUGAAGCUGGAAUCGCUAGUAAUCGCAUAUCAGCCAUGAUGCGGUGAAUACGUUCCCGGGCCUUGUACACACCGCCCGUCAAGCCAUGGAAGCCGGGGGUACCUGAAGUCGUCACCGCAAGGAGCCGCC